rnacentral:rRNA from 1 species
GACGAACGCUGGCGGCGUGCUUAACACAUGCAAGCCGAACGGUAAGGCCCUUCGGGGUACACGAGUGGCGAACGGGUGAGUAACACGUGGGUGAUCUGCCCUGCACUUCGGGAUAAGCCUGGGAAACUGGGUCUAAUACCGGAUAGGACCACUGCCUGCAUGGGUGGUGGUGGAAAGCUUUUGCGGUGUGGGAUGGGCCCGCGGCCUAUGAGCUUGUUGGGGGGGUGAUGGCCUACCAAGGCGACGGCGGGUAGCCGGCCUGAGAGGGUGACCGGCCACAGUGGGACUGAGAUACGGCCCAGACUCCUACGGGAGGCAGCAGGGGGGAAUAUUGCACAAUGGGCGCAAGCCUGAUGCAGCGACGCCGCGUGAGGGAUGACGGCCUUCGGGUUGUAAACCUCUUUCAGCACCGACGAAGCGCAAGUGACGGUAGGUGCAGAAGAAGGACCGGCCAACUACGUGCCAGCAGCCGCGGUAA